rnacentral:rRNA from 1 species
CGUAAGGGGAGGCAGGUGCCUAGGGUGGGGUUGAUGAUUGGGGUGAAGUCGUAACAAGGUAGCCGUAGGGGAACCUGCGGCUGGAUCACCUCCUUUCUAAGGAGUA